rnacentral:rRNA from 1 species
GGAAGAAGCGAAAGUGACGGUACCUGCAGAAAAAGCGCCGGCUAACUACGUGCCAGCAGCCGCGGUAAUACGUAGGGCGCAAGCGUUAUCCGGAAUUAUUGGGCGUAAAGAGCUCGUAGGCGGUUUGUCGCGUCUGCUGUGAAAUCCCGAGGCUCAACCUCGGGCCUGCAGUGGGUACGGGCAGACUAGAGUGCGGUAGGGGAGAUUGGAAUUCCUGGUGUAGCGGUGGAAUGCGCAGAUAUCAGGAGGAACACCGAUGGCGAAGGCAGAUCUCUGGGCCGUAACUGACGCUGAGGAGCGAAAGGGUGGGGAGCAAACAGGCUUAGAUACCCUGGUAGUCCACCCCGUAAACGUUGGGAACUAGUUGUGGGGUCCAUUCCACGGAUUCCGUGACGCAGCUAACGCAUUAAGUUCCCCGCCUGGGGAGUACGGCCGCAAGGCUAAAACUCAAAGGAAUUGACGGGGACCCGCACAAGCGGCGGAGCAUGCGGAUUAAUUCGAUGCAACGCGAAGAACCUUACCAAGGCUUGACAUAUACGAGAACGGGCCAGAAAUGGUCAACUCUUUGGACACUCGUAAACAGGUGGUGCAUGGUUGUCGUCAGCUCGUGUCGUGAGAUGUUGGGUUAAGUCCCGCAACGAGCGCAACCCUCGUUCUAUGUUGCCAGCACGUAAUGGUGGGAACUCAUGGGAUACUGCCGGGGUCAACUCGGAGGAAGGUGGGGAUGACGUCAAAUCAUCAUGCCCCUUAUGUCUUGGGCUUCACGCAUGCUACAAUGGCCGGUACAAAGGGCUGCAAUACCGUGAGGUGGAGCGAAUCCCAAAAAGCCGGUCCCAGUUCGGAUUGAGGUCUGCAACUCGACCUCAUGAAGUCGGAGUCGCUAGUAAUCGCAGAUCAGCAACGCUGCGGUGAAUACGUUCCCGGGUCUUGUACACACCGCCCGUCAAGUCAUGAAAGUCGGUAACACCU